UACAGAGGGGGCAAGCGUUGUUCGGAUUCAUUGGGCGUAAAGGGUGCGUAGGCGGCUUUUUAAGUUUGGUGUGAAAUCUCCCGGCUCAACUGGGAGGGUGCGCCGAAUACUGAGAGGCUAGAGUGUGGGAGAGGAAAGUGGAAUUCCUGGCGUAGCGGUGAAAUGCGUAGAUAUCAGGAGGAACACCGGUGGUGUAAACGGCUUUCUGGACCAUAACUGACGCUGAGGCACGAAAGCGUGGGUAGCAAACAGG
rnacentral:rRNA from 1 species